UACGGAGGGUGCAAGCGUUGUCCGGAUUUAUUGGGCGUAAAGAGCUCGUAGGCGGUUUGUCGCGUCUGCCGUGAAAGUCCGGGGCUUAACCCCGGAUCUGCGGUGGGUACGGGCAGACUAGAGUGCAGUAGGGGAGACUGGAAUUCCUGGUGUAGCGGUGAAAUGCGCAGAUAUCAGGAGGAACACCGAUGGCGAAGGCAGGUCUCUGGGCAUUAACUGACGCUGAGGAGCGAAAGCAUGGGGAGCGAACAGG
rnacentral:rRNA from 1 species